CUACCUACAACCAGCCGUAACACGCCCCCGACGGAGGUCUCUCUUUCUCGAGCUUCUUGCAUUACAAAUGAAGUCGCCUUGCGGCUUGCUCUAAGCCUCUAACCUCCAAGGAAAUCGUUGGGCGACGACAGUAGGUAAGUCAUGUUGCAGCCACCGAACUCCAUUGUGAAACUCGUUUCAAUACCAGGUAAAGGCCGCGGCAUGGUCUCCACGCAGCCCAUAAAACCAGGUCAAGUACUCCUCCGAGACUCUCCGGUCCUCCUGUACUCCGCCACCCCCUCCCUCUGCAAAUUUUGCUCCCAUUGCUUCCGCCUCCUUCCACAGUCCCCCUUCCCUUGUCCCACCUGUUCCCACUGCGCUCUCUUCUGUUCCUCUUCCUGUCUCUCCCUCGCCCUCUCCUCCUCCCACUCACCAUGGUCCUGCCACUCCCUCAUUUCCCUUUCACUCUCUCCCCCCCUUCCGCCUGACCUCCACACUCAAGCCUUCUUCCUCAUCGCUGCCUACAAUCUUUCCCUUCUAUCUGCUCCCGACUUCCAUGCCUUACUCUCCCUUCACGGAGACCCUCCCGAGUCUCUGGACGCCCCAACUCUCUUCCUCCAUUCCUUGAUAUCUUCUUUUGGUCCUCCCCCGGGCCUUACCGGGUUCUCACCCGAGAUGACGGCGGCUCUGCUGGCCAAGGACAAAGCGAACGCGUUUGGGUUAAUGGAACCGUUUAAGGAAACUGGGGAGCGGGCCGUGAGGGCGUACGGUAUUUAUCCGAAUGCGUCGUUCUUUAACCACGAUUGCCUGCCGAACGCUUGUAGAUUUGACUAUGUGGAUGGUGUUGGAGAUGGCAAUACUGACAUUAUUGUGAGGGCGGUUCAUGAAGUUCCGGAGGGGAGGGAGAUUUGUUUGAGCUAUUUUCCGGUGAAUUGGAGGUAUAAAGAGAGACAGACUAGGUUGAGGGAGGACUACGGGUUUGAAUGCGGGUGUGAUCGGUGUAGGGUGGAGGUGAGUUGGUCAGAUGACGAGGAGGAUGGGAUUGGGGAGGAGGAGAUGACGGAGGAGGAUGGGGAGGAGCAAAUGGAAGGUGUUGAGGAUGAGGAUGGCGAUGGAGAGGGCAGUGAAGUUGAAUUUCCUCAUGCUUAUUUCUUUCUGAGGUAUGUGUGUGAUCGAGAUAACUGCGGGGGGACGUUGGCACCAUUACCACCUUCGGAGGAAGGGGUUGUGUCUGGUGUUAUGGAGUGCAAUGCUUGUGGGCGGUUGAGGGAGGAGGAAUCGGUUGGUAGAGAGGGAUGUUAAGAAGUUAUGGAUGAUUGAGUCCUGCCGCAGAAAGUGGAAAUUUUUGAUGGCAAAGCAUCCUCAUCUGACAUGGACACUGUGUGCUGUCCAUUGCUUAGACUUGAUAUUGGAAGACAUUGGAAAGUUGCCUACUGUGAAGAGAACAAUUGAGAGGGCAAUUGCACUUAUGGGUUAUAUCUAUAACCAUCCAGGUUUAUUGAACCUGAUGAGGAAGUUCACAAAUCAAAGAUUGAUUAGGCCAGCAAAAACCUGUUUUGCUACUUCCUUUCUCACAUUGUAGAGUAUAUACAAACAAAAAAAGAAUUUGAGAGGUUUAUUCAACUCAAAGGAAUGGAGUGAUAGCAGAUGGAUAAAAGAAGCAAAAGGGAAAAGAAUAGGGGAGACAGUCAUGAUGCCCACAUUUUGGAAUAAUGUCAUCUUUACUCUUAAAGUGUGUGGCCCUCUUGUUUGUGUAUUAAGGUUGGUGGAUCGUGAAAGCAGGCCUUACAUGGAUUACAUUUAUGAGGCUAUGGAUCGAGCAAAGGAGGCCAUUGACAAGGCAUUUGGUGGAAGGAAAGAAAAAUAUGAAAUUUUUGAAAUUAUUGAUAAGAGGUGGGAAUGCCAACUCCACCAACCAUUGCAUGCAGUUGGUUACUUUUUAAACCCCCAAUUUUAUUAUGAUGAUCAAGAGAGACUUGAAACAGAUGAAGAGGUUAUGAUGGGGCUUUUUAAAGUAAUUGAGAUGCUUGAGAAGGACAAGAACAAGAGAAGUGUAAUCAUUGAUGAAAUAUCCAAGUACAAGAAUGCAGAAGGCAUUUUUGGUUUUGAUAUGGCUAUUUCCCAGAGGAAGACUAAAGCACCAGCUGAUCGGUGGACCAUAUUUGGUGCUUCUACCCCGAAUCUACAAAAGAUUGCAGUGAAAGUUCUAAGUUCGACAUGUAGUGCAUCGGGGUGUGAGCGAAAUUGGAGCGUAUUUGAGCAUAUUCAUACUAAGAAAAGAAAUCGGUUGGAUCAGAAGCGAUUGAAUGACUUGGUAUUUGUUAAGUUCAACUAGAUGCUUAAAGAAAGUUUUGACUCACGUAGCACCAAUGACCCCAUUUCAUUAAAAGAUAUAUAUGAGAGUAAUGAAUGGUUAAUGGGGGAGGUAGGAUGUGACGAGGAUGGUGCAGAAGCUGAUUUGGUGUUUGAUAAUGAUACACUAACAUGGGGAGAUGUUGCUUGUGCUUCUGGAGUUGAAGAGCCACUAAGGUAUACAAGGUCUAGAGCUUCAACUUCCCAAGCAAGAACAACAAAAUCUAGUGGAAAAAGACCAAGACAGCUUCAAUUGGAAGAUGAAGAAGAGGAAGAAGAAGUUGAAGAAGAAAUGGAAGAGGAUUUUGAUGACUACAAGUCAGAUGACAAUGAAGAUGAAGUUGAACUUCCAAGUGAAGAUGAAGAUGAUUAGAGGAUGAGGAUACUGAUUGAGACAUUGAGUCUUGAAGAAUGGCUGAACUGAAACCUUACGACUCUUUUUUUUUUAUAUAUAUAGAAAAUUGUCUAUGAUUUUGUUUUGUAGAAAAUUGUCUGACU